UUUUUUUUUUUUUUUAAAAACCGCAUUCUUUCCCUGGUCAGGGCAGGUAAAGCAUGUAGGUGGACAAGAGGCUACUUUUAUUUGGGACGUCCAUCAACCCGUUCCCACUAACCAUCUCUUUUCACAGGUGAAACUUACCCCAGAGACAACGAGCUCCCCACCAAGGUUCUGCACCUCAGCCUUGACUUUGCUGCAGAUGUUGAGCUGGUGGCAGUAGAGGGCAAUGCGCUGCAGGUAGGCCAGCAGGUCCUGCUUGCAGGCUGAGUCUGGACACUGAUAGGAGAACAGGCUUUAGCACCAAACACUCAGGCCAGGCCCAGCCCACCCAUCCACAGGCCCUUUGCCAAAGGCUCAGAGUGGCACUAAUGGGCUUCCUCUCCUUGCCAGAGCAAAGGGCACAGCAGUUGCGGUGUCCAUGUCCUGGGGCAGUCACAGCCCUAGGCUGUUCUCUGGGCCCAGGCCUUGCAAGGUGAGAGGGUUUCAGCAAGCAAGAGCCGGGUUCUGGAGUUAAGUCAUGAAGGUUUUGCGCUCGGUAAUAACCAUCCAGAUGACCCUCUGCUCAAAGGCAGUUUCUUGUGCGAUUAUCACAUGUGAUUUUCACCUAAUGAAAGGAAGCUGUGUUUUAAGCAAAGAUGGCGGCUAAGUGAAUACACACAAAGCGAGGAAAAGAGCUCUUGCAGACCACCCGGUCUUGACAAAUAACCUUAAGGGCAGCUGCCACCCAUUUCCUGUCUUGUGGCAAAGCUCAGCGCCCAUUUAGAAGGUUUUACCUGAAGAAAACAACCUCUCAGGUGUUGACAGCAAACAUUUCUUCUUGUAAGGCUGGGUGCAGUGGAAAGGUGGGAUAAAAUGAGGCCCUGUAGACCCAGCUGGAGAUUUUGAUUAUCUAAGAAGUUAUUGAAAAGCAGGGCAGAGCCUCAUCCGACCUAACUGGCAGCCAUGUGGAGAGCAGGGUGGCAGGAGAGAAGCGUGGGAAUGGGAAAUCGGGCAGCAGGCACCGCAGCAGUCCAGGGUCGGCACUGUAGAGGUGUGGGGUGAGCAUCAAGGGACAAAGGCCGGGUGGCUGAGAACACACAGUACUGAGGACAGAAGACUUAUGUCCCCAACGGGGCUUUCCGAGCACUAGCCAAACAAGCUCGUGAUUCUGGUAUGAAGUAAAUCCACUAAAGCUUAUCCAUGCCUUCCACAUGGUAGGACGUGAGGAACCAGCUCCUGCCCAGAGAGGUAAUAAAUAAAGUAGAGACUGGUUCUGUCAGCCAAGGGGAAGGUUCAGGAAACACAUCCUCUCCAGAAACGUGCUCUGAUGCCCACUGGGCUGUGCUCCUACACGUCAGUGAAGAAACAGGAAUUCCGACAUCCUUAAAGUCUAGGCUGCUGUCAAUCAGGCAGGGUAGUGAGUAAGAACAAUAUCGGGGACGAGCAGGAUGCUGUGUCCCAUGGAAAGUCCUGUUCUCGCCACCUCGGAAAUGGCCCACGCGGGGGAUGCCCCAGCCCCACGAUGAAUGUAGUGAGUGACCCACAUGACAAGUCUGUCACUUACAUGGUCUGCGAUGGUACGGCCAAGCUUAUCCAUCCUGGAUCCUGCCUCAGCAAUUUUUUUUGCAGCACUGAUCACAUCUGAUGUAUUUUUCAGUGGUCCUUUACCUCUGGAGGAAAAAAAAAGUUAUACAUGAAAAUCCUUAGGGCUGCAAACGAAUGGGGAAGAGGAUGCACAAAGCAGCCUGGCCCUGCGUGUCUGGGGGCCUGUGGGAGGCAGGCGGCACUCUGUGCAGCGGAGGGGUGGGGGCCACUCACCGAGUGAAGUCGGUCAUCUCCAUCAUAAUCAUGCACAUCUGCUUGGCCAGCACGAUGAUGUCAUUGCCACUGUCGUCCCAUUUGGACACUUCAGCAUCAAGUUUGCUCUUUUCUUCCUGGAAACUGGCCACCUGUUCGGCAAUCUUUGCUUUUUGCUCCUGGGGAAGCUGAGCCAUGAUCGCCUAAAAUCAGAAGCAUAGAAGCUCUUAUGUAAAGAGAGAUGACGUUCUCCCAGCCAAGAUAUUUCCACCAAGCAAUCUAUGACAUAGGCAGGAGAAUGCUUUACUAGGUUUCAUUUUGCCUGAAGGGCCAUUUCUUCUCAUUUUGCACAGAACGGUUCCUGCAGUCUGAAUUCCCGACCCACUUUCAAGAACAAGUUGUGUGUAUGGAGAAAACCGCAUGACAGGCAGCAGCUACUCCCGCGGCUUCGUGCGCAUACCUGCACAGCCACAGAACCUGCCUGGCUUCCUCGUUAAGUUUCAUCCUCUGUCUUCUGCUGUGGGGAGGACUUGACAAGGGGAUCGCAUGGGGGCCCCCCGAAAGGGCAUUUCCUGUGGCUGUAUUAGGUCUCCAACUAUGCAAGGUGAACUAUGAGUGGUUUUAGAAAGUAAAUUUUGAAGAGGGAAGAUAGAAGAGACUCUGAAAAGUAUACAUUUUUGCUCUAGACGGCACUGAAACUUAUCAAAAGCAAUGCCAGGAGACCCGUCACCCACCCUGAGUCCCAGAGUCCAGGCCUCAGGCUCCUCCCCAUUCAGCUUCCUAAAGUGCUUAUGAUUGACGAAGGCCUCAAACAGGGACACACUUGCUGUUCAAAAUGAUUUCUAAGGAGUGAAAAAAGCCUCCUUAGAAAUAUUUCUUGGCAUCCUCCCCAAAGCAUAAAUGCUAUUGAUUAGUGAUUUAAUGACUCAAAUGAAUGCAACAGCUCUGACUGGUUUUCUUGACUGUAGCACUUUUUUUUUUUUUCACCCAUGAAUAAUUAAUAGUUCGUGCCCAUGAUAGCAUUGGGUGGGCAAAGACAGCGAUCUUCUUCUGAAUUUCACAAUCCUUUUAACAAACAUCACAUUGACUAUGUCCUAGGGCUUUCCCGAGGCAGGCCUCUGUGCUAAACUGAAGACCCCGGGCACAGUGGAGGCCGCCCAUGUCCCCGCCCUGCCCCCAGCUGAGGAGACAUUUUGGAGGAACCCACAGAGACUCGCAGGUACCAAAGGCUGCUUUGAGAAGCAACGGGUUCCAGCACAGCCGUAAGCAAGCAAUGGCAGGAAACACCUACUAUGUGCCUGAGCAUAUUACCUAUACUUCUCAUUAAAACCUUAGAAAUGUCCGUUUCUAAGAGAAGAAAACAAGAGUCUCAGAGGUGACUGUCAGCACAGGAAGAACUUUGGAAACACAGGGCAUAGUUCAUUAUGCCAGUCUCCGUGACUUGGAGAUCCUUCCUGCCACAGAUGCGGCCGCUGGGUUGAACUUUGCAUUCAACAGGCAAGGCCCUGGCCAAAUACUGGUUCUUACCACAGCAGCAAGGAUGAAGAAAGCAAAAGAGUUCACCAGCUCCCUGGCUUAACCCAGUAGGUGCAGCUGACCUGUUCCCUGCAGGGACAGCAGCAGCGGAUCCUUGAGUCGUUCUCUCUUCCCACCGCACCCCCAAAGAGUGUGAAUGUUGAAGGUGUUUUUACACUGCACACAAAAUAGUUCCUGCCUGAUGCCGUCACCUCAGAAAUGCCAUUUCCCAGUCACUCGGCUCUGCUGGCCGUUAGGCUGAGGGGGUUACACUUGGGACAGCGUUCCUACUGACCGCAAGAGAUUUGAGUAGCAAAUGUGAAGGUGUAAAAAGAAGUCCCCUGUGUCAGCUAGAUGGACAGAACAGCAAAGCAGCCAUCUCUGCUGCUCCUGCCUGCGCUGCAGGAUGGGGAGGACCUGGGUAUCUAGAUGGUCGGGGGAAAGCGCUGCAUUUGGCCUCCAGGGCAACAAGCUGCUGCUCCUUAGCACAGCAGGUGAGAGGUCAGCUGCUCUGGGGGCACCUGUGAGACCCAGUCUACACCCCUGACGAUGAGGAGAGAGGGUUGGUGGUUUUCAAAACCCCUCUCUGUCCCUCACCCCCGCCAGUUCUCUCAGACUAUGAGAGCUGCUACUCUCAGAGAGGAUGGGUCGCAGGGUCCAGAGCAGCUGCCACUCCAUUCAGCUGUGAACCAGGCGGCAGGGGUGGGGCUGGGUUCUAGCAUCCUGCCUGCUGCCCCUGGGAAGAGAGAUGUGCUCCCGGGGAACAGCAACUUCCGCCUGCACGAGGAUAUGCUCACUUCUCUGAAACUACCGGAAGAGCCUUUCUUUCUGCACUGUACUAGUCACUCAGACAGGAGCCUCGUAUCUGUGGUGAUUGUUUGCCCUCAUUUAAAUCGCCAAGAACAACACUCCUAGCUCCCAUUCUUGGCUGAAGUUUGGGCUCUAACUUGCGACUAACAGUCAUUUUAGACAAAGUAAAUUAAACAUAUCUCAUUCUAACAGCUUUUAGAUUCAUGGUUUUAAUAUACUGCCACUGCAUCUGCUGAGUUCCAGAAUGAUGCAUUGCUAAAGUUUAGCAAAUGAUAAGAAAGGAACGUUAAAAUGUCUGAAAUGCAGUUACUCACCCUUAUCAUCAACACCGCUUUCCUGAUGUCCCGGAUGCCAUCGUAUACCAGGCGGGAGGCGUCGAUAAACUCGUUCUCAUCCAUGGGCUGAGCAGGGUCUGCGCUGAGGGCCUCCACAGCCGCUUCCACUUGCUCAGUAAAACGUGGCAUGACUGCAGAGGAAAAAGCAUCAUCCCAGCGCCACCGCCACCCCCCCCCCCCAAAUCCCUUUCAGACAGAAAGAGGCGAGAUGUAUGAUGCAAGGCCCCUGCUUUUCCCUACAUGAGAUAUAUUUAUGGUUGAAAUAAAUUAAAUGUAUUUUACAAAGACUGGAAUCACAUUCUGAAAUAGGGAUUUGGAUGACUGAGAACUUGAGGUGAAAUUAACCGGACACCUUGUGUAAGGGUGUGGGACCUUCCUUAAUUAGUAUCCACUAAUAGGAGACUUAACGCAGAAGUUCAUCUUAAAUAGUAUGUUCUGAUUUAUUCCCACCAUUAAUCAUAGGGCACACAUGAGGGAAAUUAAGUCUGUGAAGACUUAAUUUAACUCUCGAGAGUGAUGCAUCCCCAGAACCCUGAAGACCUGAGCUGAGUCCUGAAUGUCUUACUUCCUAACCACAAGUUUUUGGAUAACAGGAAGGCGGGAGGGGAAAGGGAGGUCACACACCUGUGUUGGAGAGCAGCUUGGUGGCUUCCAGCACUUUCUCUGUGUAGACCCCUGGCUCAUAGUUGUCCAUCUCUGAGGUGACUACAUGGAUGACCCGAGCUGCCCGUCCUCGAAUGGCGCCAGCCGUGCGGUCCAGCCCAUCUACAUCCUUCUCUUGGAGAGCAAUGACACAUUUGUUCACGUCUUCCAAAAUGUGAUUCUCUGAAGAAUAAGCAAAAUGAGCAGUGAAAAAGGAGGCCUCUCACUAGAAGGGAUCAUUGUAAGUUGGCAUCUAUUAGUUUCCGAUUGUUCAGUUAGUACCAGCUUCAAUGCUAAAAACUUAACACAUACCAUUUUGCUUUAAAGACCAGAUUAACUUUCAGUGAUCACCUCCAAGAACAACAAUGUUCAGUCCAGGUUUGAGAGAAAGACAACCAUCUUGAAGGCACAGUUGAUUCUGUACCUAGAGCAGAAAAUCCAGUCUAUAGAAACCUUAAGUUCCCUUUCCCUUCAAUAAUUUCACGAGCUUAUGUCCCAAACAAAGGCUAACAUAGAACAAAAGUCCACUAUAAGUCUUUAUCCUCAGAGUCCCUUGCCCCCUCUGCCAGUACAUGCUAACAGUGUUGUCACUAUCUACCAAGAACACGCACAGUCUUGGGACUGUUGGGAGGUGCUGGAAAGCAAGCUGAAAUCCUCUGGAGAGCGCUGAAAGCCCACCUGAGGUGAAAACGCUCGAUAACCUUGUGGGAGGCAGGUGGGCCUGUUGUGAUAAUGGCACAAAUCGUAAGCAGUGCCUACCAAUCACAGCUUACAUUUGGAGGACCCACCAAAACUAUUCUUCCUGGAAACAAGCCUGACACCGAAUUUCAGGAAUCGCAGGGUAAGGAGCUCACUUCAACCUUCAUCUAUAAUAGCAAAGUGGGAGCAAGCACAAUGUCCAAGAGCAAAGUAGGUAAUAAAUUAUGGGCUCUACACAGGCGCUAAAAUGGAUGAGGUCGAUCUAUAGGGGCAGACCCAGAAUGGGAAAGGGAAUGUUCUCACUCACCCAGAACUGCAGAGCCUACCAGCAAAAAAUGUAGCAACUCUUAAAAGCAGUGUCUGUUAAAGACAUGUUCACUCAUUUAAACCAAGGGAGUACCUGGCACAACUGCUGAAAGACUAAUGGUCCUCGAUCUUCUGGAAAAGCCAGACAAUUAGGGAAAAUGUAGGCAAAACAUAUCUGGUCUUUGUGUCUUUUUUUUUUUUUUUUUUAAGAUUUAUUUUAUUUAUACAAGCACUGGGUUCAGUCAGAAGUGAGGGAGGGUGAGACAAUUCACC